CUCCUCUGUCUCUCAUUGGCCCUCGCAGGGCUCAUCGUGGGCGCCAUUGGCUGGCAGCGAGUGUCCGUCAGGGCGGCGGGGCGGGACAGAGGAGGAGAGGGAUGCUGGUGCCUCUGCGUCUCUAUCUCUGUAGAAAGUCCAGCAGAUAGAAGAUCAGGAGGGCCUAGGAGGAAAGGGCGCACGUCUGACAGACAAGGAAAGACUCAAGAUGUAGCUGAUACUGUUUCCAGAUACCAGGGGUGAAACCCCGCGGAGGUGUCCAGAGGCAGCUGGAAUCUUGGGACUUCAGAGUAGGUGGACAGUCUAGACUCGAGGGGCACAGCGUUUACAACCUAAAUGGAGUGGUCUAGGACAUGCUAGAGGACAAAUUCUCCCCAAAAAUGUUAACGAGCACCCACAUUUAAAGUUAAGAGGAUGAAAAAGGAACAGAAUAGUAAAGCUCCAUGAAAAUUAAAGGAGCAAAGGUCUCUGGUAAAACAAUAAAGCUAUAGGAGCAAUGCA